UGGGAUAGCUCAGUUAGUAGAGCAUGAGACUAUUAACCUCAGGGUCGUGCGUUUGAGCCCCACAUUGGGCAAAA
rnacentral:tRNA from 1 species